rnacentral:rRNA from 1 species
UUUGACCUCAAAUCAGGUAGGAAUACCCGCUGAACAUAAAGCAUAUCAAUAAAGGCCCGC